rnacentral:rRNA from 1 species
UACAGAGGUCUCAAGCGUUGUUCGGAUUCAUUGGGCGUAAAGCGUGCGUAGGCGGUUUGUUAAGUCUGCUGUGAAAUCCCCGGGCUCAACCUGGGAAUGGCAGUGGAUACUGGCAAGCUAGAGUGUGUCAGAGGAUGGUGGAAUUCCCGGUGUAGCGGUGAAAUGCGUAGAGAUCGGGAGGAACAUCAGUGGCGAAGGCGGCCAUCUGGGACAACACUGACGCUGAGGCACGAAAGCGUGGGGAGCAAACAGG